rnacentral:rRNA from 1 species
AGUGAACGCUGGCGGUAGGCCUAACACAUGCAAGUCGAACGGCAGCACAGUAAGAGCUUGCUCUUACGGGUGGCGAGUGGCGGACGGGUGAGGAAUACAUCGGAAUCUACUUUUUCGGGGGGGAUAACGUAGGGAAACUUACGCUAAUACCGCAUACGACCUACGGGUGAAAGCAGGGGAUCUUCGGACCUUGCGCGAUUGAAUGAGCCGAUGUCGGAUUAGCUAGUUGGCGGGGUAAAGGCCCACCAAGGCGACGAUCCGUAGCUGGUCUGAGAGGAUGAUCAGCCACACUGGAACUGAGACACGGUCCAGACUCCUACGGGAGGCAGCAGUGGGGAAUAUUGGACAAUGGGCGCAAGCCUGAUCCAGCCAUACCGCGUGAGUGAAGAAGGCCUUCGGGUUGUAAAGCCCUUUUGUUGGGAAAGAAAAGCAGCAUGUUAAUACCCCGCUGUUCUGACGGUACCCAAAGAAUAAGCACCGGCUAACUUCGUG